ACCUGGUGGGAGGUGAUUGAAUCAUCGGGCGGGUCCCGUGCUGUUCUCGUGAUAGUGAAUAAGUCUCACGAGAUCUGAUGGUUUUAAAAAUGGGAGCUUCCCUGCAGACGCUUUCUUCUCGUCUGUCGCCAUGUGAGAUGUACCUUUCACUUUCCUCCAUGAUUGUGAGGCCUCCUUAGCCACAUGGAACUGCCCUGGCAAUCACUAUUCCAGUCUCUGCUUCUAUGAGUUUGACUAUUUCAGAUUCCACAUGUAGGAAAUGCUGGAGUCCUUCAUCCGAAUGGUAAAUGGCACUUGUGACAAAAAUCAAAGUAACUAAAAAAGAAUCUGGUUGAAACCUCAGUAACAGUUGGCCUGUCUACUGCCUCACACUAACAAGUGACCCCCACCUUUACAAGUGUCUGUAAUUCUCACUAGCAGUAUAUUAGAGGGCAAAAGAUUUGAACAGACACAUCAGAAAAGAAGACAUACAAAUGGCCGCUAAGCACUUGAAAGGAUUCUGAACACCAUUAGUCAUCAGUGAAAUGCAAAUUAAAGCCAUAAUGAAUGGCGCUAUACAUUUUCAGAAUGGCAAGGAUUGAAGACCGAAAAAAAUCAAGCGUUGAGGAGAGUGACAAAUGGGGAGACAGCCGUGGUGCAUGAUCGCCGAAUAAAUACCAUGUGAGGAUACAGCAAGAAGGUGGCCAUCUACAAGCCAAGGAGACAGGCCUCAGAAGAAACCAACCCUUCUUACACCCUGGACUCAGACUUCUAAUCUCCAGAACUUGUUAAUGCACAAGGUCUUGUGUUGAAAAUGUAGAGCCACGAGAUAAAAGCAGCUUGGAUGGCUGACUCAUAUACAAGGACAACUGCCUGAGAGUCACCAGGGCUAUCAAGAAGUUUGCAGAAACAAGAAAUAAACUUUUACUGUUUUAAACUUUUGUGAAUUUUGGGUUUUGUUUAUCACCAAAUAAACCUAGUCUAUUCUGAUUGUUAUAAGUGGUUAAUUUGGGAAGUCAGAUAUAUUUAAAAUUGGCUUACUGCUGUAACAUAUACAGUCCAAAUUACAUAAUGGCUCAAAUGCAAUAGAAGUCUUUUUUUUUUUUGCUCACAUAUCACUUCACUGAGAUUCUGCAUUAAUUGUAAUGAUGAGGGUGAGGGUGUCUUAUAUCAUACAGUUGUUCAGCAACCCAGGAUGACCAACUUUGUAAUAUUUUUUCCCACUGGCUUCUAAAGUUCUCAUAGAUAGUAAAAUUCAUUUGGAAGAAGGAGAAACAGCAUGGAGGAUUGCAGAUGGAGAUUUUUAUGGGAAGGCUUGGAGGUUUGGAGGUUUAAUCGCAUGGAGAGAGAGAGCAUAGAACACGAGAAAUAUACCAAAACAACAGAGGUAAUGACCUCAGCUUUAGAGAUUUCCCAUUUUAUUAUAGUUUUAUUUCCAUUUAGAUAUGUCAUUUAGAUAUUAAGGUGUCACUGUCCAAUAAGGCAGUAUGAACCUGGGUUCUGGAUGAAGACUAGUCGGGAUAUUGUGUCAAUGACAGUAAUUGAAG
rnacentral:lncRNA from 10 species